rnacentral:ribozyme from 14 species
AGCUGCUUGCGGAAGAUCUGGAGGGGCCGUUUGAAUCCCUUGGGGGCUCCCUCUGGCUGCGGGGCGGCGAUCUCAGUGACCUUCUCGAAGCCCACUUGCCGCGUCAGGAGGUCCUCAAAGUCUUGCGGCUUGAGCUGGAUGGCAUUGAUG